UUUCCAGUCCAGCAAGCAAGACUAAGAGCGAAGAUUUGAAUUGGAAAUUGAACUAUUUCACUGCAAAGAAAACCAUCGACGUCCAUAAAGAUUCAGAAAUUGGAAACAGUGGAGGAACUACUCGACCUUGACGAGAUGAUAAAAACUCAACCAAGCAAGAAAGAUUUGCUGGCUCAUGACAAAUGAAUUAAUGUCCAAUCUGAACAUGAAGGGGAGAGGGGGAAAAAAAUAGCUUUGCCGAGACGAAGCUGCUUGAUUUAGUCACAGCUAGUGUCUUGGAUACCCAGAAGGGGACCGAAACGAUGGUCCAUGAUGCCAUAAAAAAUAAACUGAAAUAUGCCCCUGGACGGAAGGGAGGAAUAGGAUGGGCAUCACAGGCUAAAUAAAUAAUUAUAUCGAUUGA